GCCUUCGUUGUGUAAUGGUAGCACACGUGGCUCGUAUUCGAGAGUUUUAGGUUCGAAUCCCGGCGAGGGCA
rnacentral:tRNA from 1 species